GGCUUGCUUAGAAAACUUCAUUCUGCUCUCACCAAGAUGCCCUCAUCAGCUGGAUAUUCCUAUGACCUAGACUUUAAGGACAAAUCUUUCCCAGCCGGUUUCAUCAACUGGAUCCUUCAAGUUUCAGGGGUAGAAGAGCACAGCAAGUACUACUCUCACCAUGGAGGCCUGCUCAGAUCAGGGUAAAGACUCCUGAGCCUGUGGGUUGGCUUGGACCCUGCCGAGCCAUGCAUAAGCCACAAACAGUACCAGCCUCAAUGACUCUUUAACUUCCUUCACUACCACGAAUCCAAAAUCCCAGAAAGAUAAACAAGCUGUGGCUUAACAUCCCCUUGGAGUAUUGGCUUUUUGCUGCAGUUGACAGGACACUUUCCCCCAGCAUAGCUCUCCUUCAGUCACUGCUCUAACUCUUUGGGUCCCUAUCACUUCUUGUGCAGAAUAUUUUAGUAAGCUUUCUCAUGCCCAGUCUCCUGAUCUCCAGCCUCUUUGUCUC